CCAGGGUAAAUAAGCAGAAAAUAAUUAUUUAAUACUGAACUUUGAAAUAGUGAAAACAUGCGGUGUGAGAAAAAAGUCUCCGGAAACGGGAUUACUAAACUACAUAAAACUACAUCUCCCAUGAUGCCGCUGUGCGCGCUGGUCUGGGCGGGAUAUUGCGUCAUCAGUAGUAGGUUUGAAUGUUGUUGUAGCUACAGAAGCUAAAGCUGCGGGUUAGUUUGAUUUAAAGUGAUUAUAGUGAUUAUAGUGAUUAUAGUUGUAAUACUGAAGCUGUUAUUAGUGAGUAAUGGACUCGGGGGAGCAGCAGGAGGAGGAGGAGGUGUCGGCUCGGAUUCUGCUGAGGAGGGUUUUGGGUUCGGAGCUGAUCCGCUCUCCCGUUACCCGGAGUGUGUCUCAGACUCAGGCCGACUCCCGCAGGAGGAGGAGCUCCAGAGUCAGGAACCUCCCACCAGCCGAGAGCCCACAGAGCGUCCUCCGCCACAAACUCAAACACAAACUACAGCAGAGCAGUUCUCAGUCUCCGGCUCCUCCCACUAAAAGGAGGCGGUCUCAGAGUCGGGCGGUGAAGACUCCGGUCGUGUCCUCCUCUUCUCUGUAUGAUGAGGACAUCACACCCCGUGGUCUGCUCCGGGGCAUCAUCCAGACCGAGGCCGAGGCGUCUCUGCUGCUCUCCGGUCAGCCGGCGCCGCCCGACACCAACAAGCCGCUCCCAGAAACCAGCAGCCGACUGAGUGAGGGGGCGUCUGGACUGGAGCUGCCGGACCUGGUGACCGAACCCCUGAGUAAUCUGAUUGGAGGGAUGAGUCGCAGGAGGCCGCCGCCCACUUUCAACAUUUCUGCUUUUGAGAGACAACUGGAGCAGCGGUCAGGUACCGUCUGACUGUGAAAAUACAACCGUGCACAAUGUUUCACAACUAUCACACUUAGUGCUGGGCGGAAUCACCUAAAAUGUUUAUCACAGUAUUUUUUAUUAUUAUUUUAUUUUUUAAUCGACUGGGCUUAAAUAUAGGUUUGUGAUUUACUUUACUGUCAGGAGUUUAUAUAAUAUAAAACCUCAAGGAUUUAAAUUAAGGUUUUCAUUAUUAUUGGAUUUACCUUGUACCAAACCAUCAUACAAUAUAUAUAAAAAUCAAACUUUAUUAUCAGAAAAAAAACAGCUGAAGAAUUUAAACAAUAGACCUUAAAAAAAUACACUAACAACUUUACAAAUCUAAAUAUUUAAAAUAGUUCCAUAAACACUAUAAAUUAACCUAAAAUACUAUACUGUAAAUAUUCAAAUUUAUUUUCACCUCGUAUCCAGAGUUUUAGGGAGUUUUAGGGAGUUUUAGGGAGUUUUAGGGNCAAUUUUAUCAGAUUUGUAACAGAAUGAUCAAUAAUCCA
rnacentral:lncRNA from 1 species